rnacentral:tRNA from 1 species
GCCUGAGUGGCUCAGUCGGUUAAGCGUCUGCCUUCGGCUCAGGUCCUGAUCUCAGGGUCUUGGGAUCAAGUCCCACUUCAUGCU